rnacentral:lncRNA from 1 species
CUCAAACUGACCUGAGGCAAGUGCAGACCUGCUGUUAGAGAAGAUAGCAUGGGAGCAAUCCAUUUGUUCCUGACCCUGGGGACUCUUAAGACAGACUGAGUUCUCUCACAUCCGGGCAACCACCAACUUGUGCUGGUGAUUGAUUAAGCCUUUGGGUAUUGUAUACAUCAACCAGUUGCAGCAGGCAAGGGAUGGAGAAAUGAGGCCUCUGGGAAUGAAAGUGUGGAGUCAGCUUUGGGCAAAUGGAAAUUGAAUGGAAGGAGCAUCUCAGGAAGAAGGCUAAGAAGGCAAAACAGAGCUUGCAUUGCAGGAGGCAGACUUCAGACCAGGCUUAGGGUGAGGGAACAAAGACGUCUCAGUGCCCCGGCUGAGAAAUUGGACAAGAAAGACGGGACCCGUGCUCCCCUACAGGAGGUGGGCUGAGGGCAGAGCUGUUUGCCUGGCAGAGGAGGAGCAAACAGCCAUGUUGUAAAUGGCCUCUGAGGAGGACUGGCCUCUAGGAGUUGAGGACCUCAAGCCUACAUCUGCAAGGAAUUGAACGAUGCCAAGAACCCGAACAAACUCUGAAGAUGAGAAUGCGGCCCUGUGCCAAGACUGGCUGCCUUCCCCUGUUUCUGUACCACACUGGUUCCUGAAGCUAUUUGAGUUUGAGACUGCUGGGGUAACCUGACCCACUUCAAGGAUCUGAAAGUAUUUUACAGUUGGUUGAAUCCAUGGAUGUGGAACCCAUGGAUGUGAAGGACUGACUGUACUUUGCACUAGUGGUUCUCAAAGUGUGGGCCCUGGACCAGUGGCAGCAGCAUCACCUGGGAACUUGUGAGAAAUGCACUUUUCAGCUCCUGUUUCAGAUGGACCUAUCAGAAUCUCUGCAGGAACAUUUUGAAGUCCCCUCAUAUACAAUGAAAUGAUAGAUUUGUCAACACAGAUAAAUCUCAAAAACACAAUAAGUGAAGAAAGUAAGUUGCAGAUGGAAAUAAUAUGUGAUGGUCAAACAAUCUAGAUGUUUCCGUGAAGGUGUUUUUGGAUGAGACUAACAUUGACAUUGGUGGACUUUGAGUAAAGCAGGUUGCCUGCGUGCCAUAAUGUGGGUAUUCUCAUCCAAUCAGUUGCGGGAUUUAACAGAGCAAAGACUGAGGUCCCCUGAGAAAAUAGGAUUCCACCAGCAGACAGCCUUCAGCCUUGAACUGCAGUGUCACCUCUUCACUGGGCCUCCCAACCUGCUGACACUUUGAUCUUGGACUUCUAGCCUCCAUAACUGUGUGAGCCAAUUCCCUAAAAUAAAUCUCUCUCUGUACACAUUCUAUGGUUAUGUUUCCCUGGAGAACCCUGACUAAUACACAGUAUAACACAAUUUAACAUAAAGUUUAAAAUAAUGCAAAAUAGUCCUAGGAAAGGUUUUAUACAUAUGUAGUAAAACUUUCAUGGGAGUGGUAAGCACCAAAUUUAGGGCAGCAGUGACCUCUGGGGGGGUGGGGGUGGAAUUCAAUCAGGACAGAGUACAAGGGGAGUUUCAAUUAUAUCUAAAAUCUUUGAUUUCAGGUUUUAAAAAAAGGUUUUUUAACAAAUAACACUGAGUUGACAAUGCUGAGUAUUAGGUGGCUUUUUAUGUGUUAAAAAUAUUUCAUAAUUAAGAACAGAAUGAGAUCGAUCGCAUAAAUAAAAUCAACUUGGAAAAGAAAACUAGCACAGUGGCUGAUACAUCUUGGGACCCUGACAGACACAGGGAGAGACUGGCUGGGACAAGUUUGAUGGAGAAGGCAGGUCAGAGCGAGGGCAGGCGGUAUGGAAGUGUGGCCUUAGGGAACAGUGGGCGGGGUGACUGCAGAGGUCAUGUGGACGCAGUCCCAGUCACCCAGGUGGCUCUCCAACAGGCCCUGCGUGUUUACCCGAAGGUGGCCCUGCACAGACAGUUAUCCCCGACUUUCCUCUGACAAGAUAUUUCCUGGGCACUUGCCAACAUCAGAGGAAUCUAAGUUCCUCAGAAAUUCGCGUGGGACCUGUUGAGGCUUACGGCAGAUCACAGGUGCUCCUUUCCUAUCCCAGGCGUGGCUGCUGCAGCAGGGAGGCUGUGAGGAUCUAGAGGAUACAGCUACGGAGAACAUGCUGGGUUCCUUGAGCUGCUAAGCACUGAAGUCCCACCAAUGGUGACGAAGGUCUAAGGAGAACAUUGCAAUUGCACAAAAUGAUCCUUGGAAAUUCUUUAGAAGGGCACCAUCUUGGAGACCCAGAAUCAAUAAAACCAGCAUGGCUGGGAGUUUUCUCCAGCAUUUGAAUAAAUUGUUGUUUCUUUGGUUGAACCAUGAUGAGAUAAUUGGCUUAAACCAGGAGUCAUGCAUGGUAUCUGGAAACUUCCUCACUUGAAUCACCAGCAUCAUACUCAGCAUGCAUAAUCCUCUCAUCAUGAGAGGCACAGGGGAAAUGAGCCAGCCUGUCUGGAAAGGAAGCAAAUGCAUGCUUUCCAUCUCCCACUCAGUACUGGACAUGAAGCUAUGUCAUCACCACUUAAUGCCAGCACCACUUAAAUGAUGUUUCUCUCUCUCUGCCCUGUACUUGCUGGAGGCACAUGCCCAUAUCACGUAGGGUGUCAGGGCAGAGAGCUCUUAGGAAGAGCUGAGCUGUGGGGACUUCCUCCCACGCAGAAGAGGGAGGCCUCUGCAGAAUUCUCUGCCAUGUGCUUCUAGGCUUCCUCAACUCAGAAAUUUUAUUAUAGAGUUUUAGAAUGUGAAGAGCUCUUGGAAAUCAUGAAAGAUGAAGAAUCAAGAUGGAAGUUUGAUGGCUUGUCCCAGGCCCCAGAGUGGACCCUUUGCUUUUUGGAAUCCAACAGCAAGGACUCAUGGGAAUAUCGUGGGAUUUGACUUGGAGAGACAGGGCUCAAACCUCAUCUUUGUCACUUAGUGAUUGUGUAAUUCUCUAAAAGUCUAUUUGUAGAAAAGGGAUAAGGGAGCUUUCUUUCCUGGAUUUCAAGAUGAUUAAAAGAGAUGUAUGUAUAAAGGGAUGCUCAGUUGUCUGAGCUGAGAUGACUGCAAAGUCACUGCACUCCUCUUACAAUGCCUGACAGGUGCUUCCAUCUUUGGGAGGUGUGGAGCCCUUGACAGGCACGUCAGCAGGGGGCAUUUGGGAGGGCAGCCUGCGAGGGUGAGGGGAUGCCAGUGGGCCAUACUGCAGAGGCAGAAACUUGGGGGAGGGGUCACAGGCGGUCAACUGAAGAAGGGGCUUGUGCCUGCAGAUGCUCCAAGAGGGGAGUCUAAGAGGAAUCCAGAAAAGUGUCCCCAAGAGAAAGAAUCUGACUUUAAUGUUAGCCGGACCCAGA